UACCAGCACCCCGAGUGGUCGGGACGAUUAUUGGGCCUAAAGCAUCCGUAGCCGGUUUUACAAGUCUUCCGUUAAAUCCACCUGCUUAACAGAUGGGCUGCGGAGGAUACUAUAGAGCUAGGAGGCGGGAGAGGCAAGCGGUACUUAGUGGGUAGGGGUAAAAUCCGUUGAUCCAUUGAAGACCACCAGUGGCGAAGGCGGCUUACUGGUCCGGUUCUGACGCUGAGGCGCGAAAGCGUGGGGAGCAAACAGG
rnacentral:rRNA from 1 species